GGCCUUGGAGAAGGGUACAAUAUAAAUAUUGCCUGGACAGGUGGCCUUGAUCCUCCCAUGGGAGAUGUUGAGUACCUUGAAGCAUUCAGGACCAUCGUGAAGCCUGUGGCCAAAGAGUUUGAUCCAGACAUGGUCUUAGUAUCUGCUGGAUUUGAUGCAUUGGAAGGCCACACCCCUCCUCUAGGAGGGUACAAAGUGACGGCAAAAUAAACUCCUGUGCUGGAGGUACAACAGUUUGGAAGUAUACUUGGGGAAAGAGAAAACACAAGAUGGAAGGAAGAUCUCUCUUUUCACAUUGGGAGCAC
rnacentral:sRNA from 1 species